rnacentral:rRNA from 1 species
UACGUAGGCAGCGAGCGUUGUUCGGAGUUACUGGGCGUAAAGCGUGCGUAGGCGGUUUUCUAAGUUUGGUGUGAAAUCUCCCCGGCUCAACUGGGAGGGUGCGCCGAAGACUGGGAGGCUGGAGUGUGGGAGAGGUAGGCGGAAUUCCUGGUGUAGCGGUGAAAUGCGUAGAUAUCAGGAGGAACACCUGUGGUGUAGACGGCUUACUGGACCACUACUGACGCUGAGGCACGAAAGCGUGGGGAGCAAACAGG